rnacentral:rRNA from 1 species
AUGCUAGUUGCACGAGUAUAGACUCGUAGCGGAAAGCUCAGUAACACGCGGUCAAACUACCCUAUAGACCAGCAUAACCUCGGGAAACUGAGGCUAAUACUGGAUACUGCUCCCACGAUUGAACACGGGGAGCUACAAACGCUCCGGCGCUAUAGGAUGUGACUGCGGCCGAUUAGGUAGACGGUGGGGUAACGGCCCACCGUGCCGAUAAUCGGUACGGGUUGUGAGAGCAAGAGCCCGGAGAUGGAUUCUGAGACAAGAAUCCAGGCCCUACGGGGCGCAGCAGGCGCGAAAACUUUACACUGCGCGACAGUGCGAUAAGGGAACUCCAAGUGCGAGGGCAUAUAGUCCUCGCUUUUGUGUAUCGUAAGGUGGUACACGAAUAAGAGCUGGGCAAGACCGGUGCCAGCCGCCGCGGUAAUACCGGCAGCUCAAGUGAUGGCCAAUAUUAUUGGGCCUAAAGCGUCCGUAGCCGGCCAGACAGGUUCGUCGGGAAAUCUGCUCGCUCAACGAGCAGACGUCCGGCGAAAACCAGCUGGCUUGGGGCCGGAAGACCCAAGGGGUACGUCUGGGGUAGGAGUGAAAUCCCGUAAUCCUGGACGGACCACCAACCGCGAAAGCACCUUGGGAGGACGGACCCGACGGUGAGGGACGAAAGCUAGGGUCACGAACCGGAUUAGAUACCCGGGUAGUCCUAGCUGUAAACGAUGCUCGCUAGGUGUGGCACAGGCUACGAGCCUGUGCUGUGCCACAGUGAAGACGUAAGCGAGCCGCCUGGGAAGUACGUCCGCAAGGAUGAAACUUAAAGGAAUUGGCGGGGGAGCACUACAACCGGAGGAGCCUGCGGUUUAAUUGGAUUCAACGCCGGA